rnacentral:misc_RNA from 1 species
AGAUAUAGUGUAUGCGGUAUAUAAGUUUUUUUUAGGUGUAAUUUAUAGUGUUGUUGUGAGUUUAGUGUUAGUGAAUUUAUGAUAUGGUAUAUUUAGAAAAAAAGAAAAAGAAAAUUUUUGUAUUUUUAUGUGAGGAUUUUUUAGAAGGUGUUAGAAUAAUAUUUAUAGUAUAUGAUGAAGUUUGAAGUAAAGGAAUAGAAAUU